rnacentral:rRNA from 1 species
UACGUAGGGGGCAAGCGUUGUCCGGAUUUAUUGGGCGUAAAGAGCGUGUAGGCGGCCAGACAAGUCUGCUGUGAAAACUCGAGGCUCAACCUCGAGCUGUCGGUGGAAACUGUCUGGCUAGAGUCCGGAAGAGGAGAGUGGAAUUCCUGGUGUAGCGGUGAAAUGCGCAGAUAUCAGGAAGAACACCUAUGGCGAAGGUAGCUCUCUGGGACGGUACUGACGCUGAGACGCGAAAGCGUGGGGAGCGAACAGG